GGAUCCCACGGAACUUCGCAGUGUUUUUCCGAUCAUUUAAUGAGCUUAGAAAAUUCUGAAAAAUUUAUGUACUAACCCCCGUGUUAUGGGCUUCGUGUAGGUAUCCUCGAUUCGCGGAAAUUCGACAGUUGACCAGGUCUGCGAAAUUCCGGCCAGACAGACCCGUUACCGGAAAAGUCUCCGAAUUGGACCGAGGUUUUGGCUAGCCCCCCAUUGUCAGACGUCCCGAGCGCGUUCCCGAAGUCGGAAUCGGCAAAGGUGAGCCGGGACAGCCUUCUUCCUCCGCCCAGCCGCCACAGUGAUUGUCGUCAAGUCUGCCACAGGAGGAUAUUUUUGAGGUUAACCUGCUUUCUCCCUCGCAGGUCAAUUAUUACUGUUUGUAUAAACUUGUUAAAUCUUAGAAUUUCCGCAUGUGUUAGAAAUGUUUAUUUGAUUUGGGUCUGUAAACUAAAUUAUUAUUUUGGGACCUGUAAACUUAAUAUGCUAUGCAUGUUUGAUGGA